UUUCAGAAACACCUUUUGGCUUCUUGGGCUCAAGCAAUCCUAUCUUUAAUAUCUUUGCCUUCUCAGCUGCUCUGUCUUCUGCUGGUCCCUUGUAUUUGCCCAUUUCUCUCUCGCUGACUAAGCCCUGCUGAGAAAACCCAUAUACUUUCUCUUUCAGUGUGUGAACAUGGAUGACCUUUGCUCCUAGCUCCUGACACCAAUUCCAUUGUCUCUUCUGUGCGACUGACACUCUACUGUUGCUAUGACAUUGGGCAAGGCCACUUUUUCUGUGUGUAGUGCCUUUCCCUGGACUGAUCUGUGUGCAUCUGCACCUUUCUUCCAGUAUGCCUCUCCUCUGCCAUGCUACUAAGAGCCUAGUUUAUUCUGCAGUGCAGGAUCAGAUUAAGUAUUCCCUGGAUUCAGCAUCUGGGUGGCUGAUUAACCAGUCUGUGCAUGCAGGCUGCAACAUGAACCCAACCCUUUCAAGACACUGGUGAAUCUCUGCAGGAGAUGUGACUUGACUGGAGACUCAGGUGAUAACAAGGGGCUAAGAAGAAUGAAGACACAGAGCCUUGUCUAUUGCCUGUGAUCCACAAGACUCAGCACAAGAAAUGGAAGAAAGAAAUCUCAGCCGUAAUAAGUGUUUGUUUUCAUCUUUUUAAAAUUCAUAUUCAUCACUAUUGGGGAUUUAUUUCCUGCUUUUUUUUUUUUUUUUUAAAUGAACUUGGCAUAUGUUAAAAAACAAAUAAUAGCAAAGUUCUCCAGUCAGAUCUCAUACCCUCUGUACAUGUAGAAAUUCCCUGUGGUGUAACUGUUUUUCUCCCAGGUCUGGACUGUAGUCUCCUUUACCCUUCCUGCUCUUGGAUCCCUCUCUCUCAAAAAUGGGAUGAAAACUUCACCUGUGUACUGCAGGCUCCUCUUUUAAAGCUUGUAGUUCUAACCUGUUCUGCAACAGGUCUUUUACACAGCAAUGCCACCGAUCUAUUUAUU
rnacentral:lncRNA from 1 species